rfam:Microgenomates (Woesebacteria) bacterium GW2011_GWA1_43_12 TV66_C0001, whole genome shotgun sequence.
UGACCGGUAGCGUAGUCGUUUAACGCGCUCAGAUAGGAUCUGAGAGAUCGAAGGUUCAAAUCCUUCCCGGCCAU